UCAAGCUCAAUGCCCUGCCACUCCCUAUGCAGUGACUGAUAUAUUCUUUUUUUAAAAUGUUUUGUUUUUUAAUUUCAGAGGGAGAGAGAGAGCAAGCACGGCGAGCAGAGAAGGGCAGCGGGAGAGAGAGAACGUUAAGCGGGCUCUCACCUCCUAGCCGGACUUGGCCAAUCCCGGGGCUCUAGGAUCACGACCUGAGCCGUAAUUGAGAGUGGAAGGCUCAACCUACUGAGCCACGCAGGCGCCCAAUGACUGACAUAUUCUCAUGGGAAAAUGGGGGCCUUUUCCCCCAGUAGAUCAGAAGAAAGAGAGAGUAGAACAAAGGAGAACAGUGACUACGCAAUUCUCCAGCACAAGAAAGGCAAGAGUUGGAGACUUACUGAUGAAGAGGUCCCUUCAUGGUCACCAAAAAGAUGUUGCCGGAAUGGUGUCUCUUAAAAGUGGACAGCCAGAGUGAAGGAGCCAGAUAAAGAAGAGUACAUCCUUCAUGAUGUCACUUAUAUGAAGGUGUAGAAAAUGCAAAUUAAUCUAUAGUGUUGGUAAGAGGAUCAGUGGAUGCUUGGGAAUGGGUGUGGGGAGGAGCAGAAAGAAAGGAAUUACA